CCUACGGGUGGCUGCAGUGGGGAAUAUUGGACAAUGGGCGAAAGCCUGAUCCAGCCAUGCCGCGUGUGUGAAGAAGGCCUUCGGGUUGUAAAGCACUUUCAGUGGGGAAGAAAGCCUUGGGGCUAAUACCCUCGAGGAAGGACAUCACCCACAGAAGAAGCACCGGCUAACUCCGUGCCAGCAGCCGCGGUAAUACGGAGGGUGCGAGCGUUAAUCGGAAUUACUGGGCGUAAAGGGCGCGUAGGCGGUCUGAUAAGCCGGUUGUGAAAGCCCCGGGCUCAACCUGGGAACGGCAUCCGGAACUGUCAGGCUAGAGUGCAGGAGAGGAAGGUAGAAUUCCCGGUGUAGCGGUGAAAUGCGUAGAGAUCGGGAGGAAUACCAGUGGCGAAGGCGGCCUUCUGGACUGACACUGACGCUGAGGUGCGAAAGCGUGGGUAGCAAACAGGAUUAGAUACCCUAGUAGUC
rnacentral:rRNA from 1 species